rnacentral:rRNA from 1 species
UACGUAGGGUGCAAGCGUUAAUCGGAAUUACUGGGCGUAAAGCGUGCGCAGGCGGUUAUGCAAGACAGAUGUGAAAUCCCCGGGCUCAACCUGGGAACUGCAUUUGUGACUGCAUGGCUGGAGUGCGGCAGAGGGGGAUGGAAUUCCGCGUGUAGCAGUGAAAUGCGUAGAUAUGCGGCGGAACACCGAUGGCGAAGGCAGCCCCCUGGGCUGAGAUUGACGCUCAGGCACGAAAGCGUGGGGAGCAAACAGG